rnacentral:tRNA from 5 species
GCCGUUGUAGCUCAGUUGGUAGAGCACAUCCAUGGUAAGGAUGGGGUCCGCGGUUCGAUCCCGCGCAACGGCUCCA